UCCCUCAUAGCUCAGUUGGUAAAGAAUCUGCCUGCAAUGCAGAAGACCCGGGUUCGAUUCCUGGGUUGGGAA
rfam:TPA: Bos taurus chromosome 8, whole genome shotgun sequence.